UNAAUAAAGCACCGGCUAACUACGUGCCAGCAGCCGCGGUAAUACGUAGGGUGCAAGCGUUAAUCGGAAUUACUGGGCGUAAAGCGUGCGCAGGCGGUUAUGUAAGACAGACGUGAAAUCCCCGGGCUCAACCUGGGAACUGCGNUUGUGACUGCAAGGCUAGAGUACGGCAGAGGGGUGGAAUUCCACGUGUAGCAGUGAAAUGCGUAAAUAUGUGGAGGAACACCGAUGGCGAAGGCAACCCCCUGGGUCAAUACUGACGCUCAUGCACGAAAGCGUGGGGAGCAAACAGGAUUAGAUACCCUGGUAGUCCACGCCCUAAA
rnacentral:rRNA from 1 species